rnacentral:lncRNA from 1 species
CAAUUUCAUAAAUUAGAAUUAACUGUAUAACGGUUUGUCACAUUGAAGUAAUAGAAAUAUGGAAUAAUUUCGAAUAUUUGGAUUCUGUUUCAUAUUUUGGAUAUGGCUGAUUUUCAAUUUGUAUUGACAUUUUUAAUUUUGUUUUCAUUUGUUUCAUCAGCAGGUAACGUAUUUUCUUUAUAUUUUUUUUUAAUAAUUAUUUUAUUACUUUUGAUGUACCUAUAACAUUAUAUGUUUUUAUUUUUCUCUCUCUUGUCUUUCUCUUUUGAUAUAUAUAUUUAAAACCAAUAACUUUUAUGAUCUAUACAAAUCCUUGUUAAAAACUUUCAAUUUUAUUUGUUGAUUAUUAUUCAAAAUAAACUACGUGAAUCUUUACUUCUCAGAAAUAUGAUAUGCUUCUAUGAUGUCUAUAAAAAUGAAAAAAACAAAAUUAUGAAAAAUUAGUUCUGGGAAUACUUUUUUGGAUCUCUUAUUUGAAUCAAAAAGAAUUAGCUGUCAUAUUUGUUUUACUUUCUUUUCUUUUUUUUAAAUUUGUAACGUAUAUAUGUUUAUUAAUAAGCAUCAGAGGCAAAUUAUACUAGACACAGGCAAUUUCAUUUUGUCACACGAAUAUAUCUAAUUAUUUUCAGACUUCUUUUUCAUUAUACCAACAUCUACGGUUUGAGUUUUCCUUAAAAGUUUGGAAAAGCGUAUCUUUCAUUAAAAUAGAUAUUUCAUGAAUUAAAGAACAUGAAAUUUGAUGCCAAAAUAUAUUAAUUCAAUUUCAAAAAGUCAUAGAAGGAUUGGAUCCGCUUAAGCUGCGUGCUUCUUUUUCCUAUACUUUACAGUUCUAAUACUAAACAAUGUAAAUCUGAAAAUCAUGUUUUAUAAGUAUGUGUUGCGAUGUGUAUGUGUCAUGUUUUAUAUGUAUGUGUGUAUGUGUCAAGUUUUGUAUGUAUGUGUAUGCGUGUGUAUGUUUCAUGUUUUAUAAGUAUGUGUUGCGUGCGAAUGUGUCAUGUUUUAUAAGUAUGAGUUGCGUGUGAAUGUGUAAUGUUUUAUAUUUAUGUGUGUAUGUGCCAUGUUUUAUAUGUAUGUGUUGUGUGUGUAUGUGUCAUGGUUUAUAUGUAUGUGCUGCGUUUGUAUGUGUCAUGUUUUAUAUGUAUGUGUGUAUGUGUCAAGUUUUUUAUGUAUGUGUUGCGUGUGUAUGUGUCAUGUUUUAUACGCAUGUGUUGCGUUUGUAUGUGUCAUGUUUUAUAAUAUAUGUGUUGCGUGUGUUUAUGUCAAAGUUUGAAUGAUAUUCAACUUUGAUUUACACAUCACUUGAAUGAACUGAUUCCUUUAGAUAAAUACAAUACUGUAAUCAAACAAACAAUUCCGGACUCCUACAUUUGUAUCUUUCUUUCUGCAGGUUGUCUCACUUGCUAUGCCUGUUCUUUGAGUAACCAGGAUGACAAAUCAUGCGCAGAGGAUAAAAACAUGUUGAUAGACAGCAAAGUGCAUAUGAAAGGUUUUGUUAAAAAUUGUUCUGAAAAUGAAAGUUAUUGCAUGAUAGAGAAAAUAACAACUAAAUGUAAGUAUUUGAAAUCUGUUGCUGG